rnacentral:rRNA from 1 species
GCGGCGAACGGGUGAGUAACACGUGGGUGACCUGCCCUCAGCUCUGGGAUAAGCCUGGGAAACUGGGUCUAAUACCGGAUAUGACCUUUCCUCGCAUGGGGUUUGGUGGAAAGUUUUUUCGGCUGGGGAUGGGCCCGCGGCCUAUCAGCUUGUUGGUGGGGUGAUGGCCCACCAAGGCGACGACGGGUAGCCGGCCUGAGAGGGCGACCGGCCACACUGGGACUGAGACACGGCCCAGACUCCUACGGGAGGCAGCAGUGGGGAAUAUUGCGCAAUGGGCGAAAGCCUGACGCAGCGACGCCGCGUGGGGGAUGACGGCCUUCGGGUUGUAAACCUCUUUCGCUAUCGACGAAGGCCCUUCGGGGUUGACGGUAGGUGGAAAAGAAGCACCGGCCAACUACGUGCCAGCAGCCGCGGUAAUACGUAGGGUGCGAGCGUUGUCCGGAAUUAUUGGGCGUAAAGAGCUCGUAGGCGGUGUGUCACGUCGGUCGUGAAAACUUGGGGCUUAACCCUGAGCUUGCGGUCGAUACGGGCAUCACUUGAGUUCGGCAGGGGAGACUGGAAUUCCUGGUGUAGCGGUGAAAUGCGCAGAUAUCAGGAGGAACACCGGUGGCGAAGGCGGGUCUCUGGGCCGAUACUGACGCUGAGGAGCG